GACAGAGGGUGCAAACGUUGCUCGGAAUUACUGGGCGUAAAGCGCGUGUAGGUGGAUUGGUGUGUCAGAUGUGAAAUCCCUGGGCUCAACCCAGGAACUGCACCUGAAACUACCAGUCUUGAGUGGUGGAGAGGGAAGUGGAAUUCCUGGUGUAGAGAUGAAAUUCGUAGAUAUCAGGAGGAACACCAGUGGCGAAGGCGGCUUCCUGGACACCAACUGACGCUGAGACGCGAAAGCGUGGGGAGCAAACAGG
rnacentral:rRNA from 1 species